rnacentral:misc_RNA from 1 species
AGCAGCCGCGGUAAUUCCAGCUCCAAUAGCGUAUAUUAAAGUUGCUGCAGUUAAAAGCUCGUAGUUGAAUUUCGGGACUAAUAUGUCGGUCGUGCCUCGGUACGUACUGGUUUAUUGGUUUCUCCUUUCUGAAGAACCAUGAUGUCAUUUAUUUGGUGUCGUGGGGAAUCAGGACUGUUACUUUGAAAAAUUAGAGUGUUUAAAGCAGGCUCACGCUUGAAUACAUUAGCAUGGAAUAAUGAAAUAGGGCGUUUGAUUCUAUUUUGUUGGUUUCUAGGAUCGACGUAAUGAUUAAUAGGGAUAGUUGGGGGCAUUAGUAUUCAAUUGUCAGAGGUGAAAUUCUUGGAUUUAUUGAAGACUAACUACUGCGAAAGCAUUUGCCAAGGAUGUUUUCAUUAAUCAAGAACGAAAGUUAGGGGAUCGAAGACGAUCAGAUACCGUCGUAGUCUUAACCAUAAACUACGCCGACUAGGGAUCGGAUGAUGUUAAUUUUUAAUGACUCAUUCGGCGCCUUACGGGA